rnacentral:misc_RNA from 1 species
CCUCCUUUCUAAGGAAACCAAUAAAAUCAAUCAUCUUCAGUUUUGAAAGACUUAGGAUAACUAGUUUUUCUUCGUGACUUCACGAAGGGCCUAUAGCUCAGUUGGUUAGAGCACACGCCUGAUAAGCGUGAGGUCGGUGGUUCAAGUCCAUUUAGGCCCACCAGAGUUAUAGGUGUCGUAAGAACACAAAUUCUUUGAAAAUUAGGUAAAUAAUAGUUAUUUUUCCGGAACAUUAAAGGAAAUAAGAGCGCACAGUGGAUGCCUAGGCACCAAGAGCCGAUGAAG